rnacentral:rRNA from 1 species
AAUAGAUACCCAGGUGGUCCACGCCGUAAACGGUGGGCACUAGGUGUGGGCGACAUUCCACGUCGUCCGUGCCGCAGCUAACGCAUUAAGUGCCCCGCCUGGGGAGUACGGCCGCAAGGCUAAAACUCAAAGGAAUUGUCGGGGGCCCGCACAAGCGGCGGAGCAUGUGGCUUAAUUCGACGCAACGCGAAGAACCUUACCAAGGCUUGACAUACACCGGAAACGUCCAGAGAUGGGCGCCCCCUUGUGGUCGGUGUACAGGUGGUGCAUGGCUGUCGUCAGCUCGUGUCGUGAGAUGUUGGGUUAAGUCCCGCAACGAGCGCAACCCUUGUCCCGUGUUGCCAGCAGGCCCUUGUGGUGCUGGGGGACUCACGGGAGACCGCCGGGGUCAACUCGGAGGAAGGUGGGGACGACGUCAAGUCAUCAUGCCCCUUAUGUCUUGGGCUGCACACGUGCUACAAUGGCCGGUACAAUGAGCUGCGAUACCGCGAGGUGGAGCGAAUCUCAAAAAGCCGGUCUCAGUUCGGAUUGGGGU